AAUGAACGCUGGCGGCAGGCCUAACACAUGCAAGUCGAGCGAGAGGAGGACGGGUGAGUAAUGACUGGGAAACUGCCAGAUGGAGGGGGAUAACUACGGGAAACGGGAGCUAAUACCGCAUACCAUCAGAUGUGCCACGUUGGGAUUAGCUAGUAGGUGGGGUAACGGCUUACCUAGGCGACGAUCCCUAGCUGGUCUGAGAGGAUGACCAGCCACACUGGAACUGAGACACGGUCCAGACUCCUACGGGAGGCAGCAGUGGGGAAUAUUGCACAAUGGGCGCAAGCCGGAUGCAGCCAUGCCGCGUGUGUGAAGAAGGCCUUCGGGUUGUAAAGCACUUUCAGCUGGGAGGCGUUACCCGCAGAAGAAGCACCGGCUAACUCCGUGCCAGCAGCCGCGGUAAUUC
rnacentral:rRNA from 1 species